rnacentral:rRNA from 1 species
CCUACGGGAGGCUGCAGUGGGGAAUAUUGGACAAUGGGCGAAAGCCUGAUCCAGCCAUGCCGCGUGUGUGAAGAAGGCCUUCGGGUUGUAAAGCACUUUCAGUGGGGAAGAAAGCCUUGGGGCUAAUACCCUCGAGGAAGGACAUCACCCACAGAAGAAGCACCGGCUAACUCCGUGCCAGCAGCCGCGGUAAUACGGAGGGUGCGAGCGUUAAUCGGAAUUACUGGGCGUAAAGCGCGCGUAGGCGGUCUGAUAAGCCGGUUGUGAAAGCCCCGGGCUCAACCUGGGAACGGCAUCCGGAACUGUCAGGCUAGAGUGCAGGAGAGGAAGGUAGAAUUCCCGGUGUAGCGGUGAAAUGCGUAGAGAUCGGGAGGAAUACCAGUGGCGAAGGCGGUCUUCUGGACUGACACUGACGCUGAGGUGCGAAAGCGUGGGUAGCAAACAGGAUUAGAUACCGUGUAGUC